GACAGCAUUGACAGAUUAUGUGUCAUUUCUGUGUAAUAUUUCACAGAAUGUGUGAAACCUGAAGUUAAGAGGUUCAUUUCUGGGUCGUGCUACAAGUGAGAAACUAACGGCCGUUUGGCUGUCCAAUCGCGUGACUGGACAUUUGAAAGCAGACUUCCGCCCGCCUUUUCUACCGUUGGAAAUGCAAGAUGCGGUGACUUCACUUGACUUCAGACACCGAGAGAGGCUGGCGUAAGUAAUUCGCUUUAUUGGUAUAAUUUCGUAACAAUUACGUGUGUUGCCGUUAAUGUAUGGUUAAAAUCAAACCCUGCUUCACAAGUUUUGCUGUACGAACAUUGGAACAGCCUCAGUGAUUCUGUGAACAUUAAGCUAGCCUACAAUCAGAUUUAGCUAGUUAUUGAUACUCAGUUAGCUAUUGAUCUUUAACGCUUGCACUAUAGAUUAUAUUUAUUUUCUUUUAAUUCACAUGUGGACUAACUUAAUGGUUAAAACGUGUUGUGUUGGGAAAAGUAAAGGUUUGAAAUGUGAUAUUGGAUGGUUUGCUAACAUUGGUUGCUAAUAGGGUAACUGAUAAUUAGCUGGUGUGGAAGAAAUCAGGCGGCACUUUACUGAUGUGAAGUUUGAAAGCUAUUUUCUGAACAUAAAAGAAAGAAAGUCUGACAGGAUUUAUGCAAGGAUACUGAAACACCACGGAUGGAUUGACGUAGAGCUAGUACUGGUAGUGGGGCAAAAGUGGAUGCUGCUAGUAACAGGUAUCGGAGGGGGCAAGACAAGGGCUAGCUAGCAUAGAGGCGAUUUUAAACUUCAGCGCUUCAAACGUAAGCAGUUCUGCGUCAAAUCAUGUAAAUCAGACCAUCCGCCACCCUCGUACAUGAUAAAGAAUAGCACCAGUAAAAGCAAGCAGUAUCCCACUGUUUUGUGUUGGCUCGAUGAAAGGUGAUAGAAACGAAUUUCCGAAUCACAUUAUGUCGGCUUGGUUGUAGUUGUUGUGGCCAGUCAAUAGACAAGCUUUGAACCGUAGUUCCAUGUAAGUGUCGUGGUUUUCACCGUUUCAGUAUGUAGUUGAAUAUGGUAGAUCUGGGCAACUGGUCAACGCUGUCGUGUUUUGUCUCGGUAGACCUCGUAUGACGGUGUGUUGGGAAAAUACCGGCAGUUGUUUCAGAUGGAGGGUGCGACGUGCCAGAUGUACGCUGUUCGAGGGAUAAAACUGACACGCACGAGAUAUUGUAGGCAAUGGUAAUUGGUGACGAUACCAUGACGUUUGAAAAGAAGAUUCAAAGUUUGAGUUUUAGGUGGCAGAGUAGAACAGCUGCGUGUGAAGUGUGGCGACUACCAAGGUAUCAACACCAGUUAUGGCUACGGGAUUUUUAAAGUACCUUCAAUGCACUGGGAACUAACGUGCUCUCCCCCCCUCUCUCUCCUCUCUUAAUCAGGGCCCAGGUCUUGUGGCCACAUCUGUCCAAGCUCCUACUCUGAUUGAACAGUUAGAUGAUCAGACUGAUGAUGAAAAGUGCUACACAGUUCUCACACAUCUUCUGACUCCGAAGCCGCUGCAGUGUAAAAUCUGAGAUGUCUUUUCUGGUUGACUUUGUGCAGGUAUUUUUCAAAGGAUAGUUACUUUUAAAACGUCUUAAUCUCUAAAAACACUUUCAUGCAGAGCCUCUGUUAGGACCUCAUUGCGAUACAUGUUAUGACCUUGUCACCAAAAUGUCAAUGACCAUAUUUUAACCUGCUAUUUAAGGCUGUCAUAGCCAUAUUCUUAUAACAAUGCAGUUAAGUUCAAGAGAACUAUAGUUUGGUGAUAUGGAUCCCAAACGGAAGGGAACAGCAGCGGUUUGUAGUUGUAGAGAACUAAUUAGCGCCAAGUGUUGUUAACCUGUUGUUUCUUGUUUACCUUUCACAGUAGCCCAUAGCACUUUUGUCAUAGAGAGCAACUUGGUCAGUAAAUAUGUGCCUGCUGUAUAAAGUAGCAGUAUUUGGAUGAGUUACAGCUAACACGGCAAACUUGAGACUGUAUAUUGUGUGUUUGACAGAUUUCUGACAGCGACAGCGAUGGUGAGGGAAGCAGUGUACCGAACUCUCAGAUGACUCGGACCAGGUGACCAAACCCAUGCAAAGCACAAUGACUGUGCUGAGGCGUUCCGCCCCCCUCCCCCUCCACACCACUCAAGGCACUGCGGCGGCCCAACCGCAAACUAACGGAGAUUAACAUGAGGCUGGAUGCGCUUGGCUCCCUGCUGCGUCCAUCACCAGAGGGGCCGGGAUUGCUGCGGCAGCUAGCCAAUUAAAGGAGGAGGAUGAAGGAGAGGAGUCUGACGAUGCAGACAUCGCCAUCGUAUGCAGUCCACGCCCUCGCAGGAAAACCAGCCAAUGAAAACGCUUGCAGCAGCAUCAGCAGAACACACCGGCACGACUGGUAAACUUAAAGAUACGCCACAGACCAGACAUACACCAAAUACAACUAGCACAGGUACACACACACACACACACACACACACACA